rnacentral:rRNA from 1 species
GAAUCUUCCGCAAUGGACGAAAGUCUGACGGAGCAACGCCGCGUGAGGGAUGAAGGUUGUCGGAUCGUAAAGCUCUGUUGCCAGGGAAGAACACUUAGGAGAGUAACUGCGAUUAAGGUGACGGGACCGGAGAAGAAAGCGACGGCUAACUACGAGCCAGCAGCCGCGGUAAUACGUAGGGGGCAAGCGUUGUCCGGAAUUAUUGGGCGUAAAGCGCGCGCAUGCGGUCAUUUAAGUUUUGUGUUUAAUUCCAGGGCACAACCCUGGGUCGCACUGAAAACUGGGUGACUUGAGUACAGAAGAGGAGAGUGGAAUUCCACGUGUAGCGGUGAAAUGCGUAGAUAUGUGGAGGAACACCAGUGGCGAAGGCGACUCUCUGGGCUGUAACUGACGCUGAGGCGCGAAAGCGUGGGUAGCAAACAG